rnacentral:rRNA from 1 species
AUUGAACGCUGGCGGCAUGCUUUACACAUGCAAGUCGAACGGUAACAGGCCGCAAGGUGCUGACGAGUGGCGAACGAGUGAGUAAUGCAUCGGAACGUGCCCAGUCGUGGGGGAUAACGCAGCGAAAGCUGCGCUAAUACCGCAUACGAUCUGUGGAUGAAAGCGGGGGACCGUAAGCCCUCGCGCGAUUGGAGCGGCCGAUGUCAGAUUAGGUAGUUGGUGGGGUAAAGGCUCACCAAGCCGACGAUCUGUAGCUGGUCUGAGAGGACGACCAGCCACACUGGGACUGAGACACGGCCCAGACUCCUACGGGAGGCAGCAGUGGGGAAUUUUGGACAAUGGGGGCAACCCUGAUCCAGCAAUGCCGCGUGCAGGAAGAAGGCCUUCGGGUUGUAAACUGCUUUUGUACGGAACGAAACGGCUCUGGUUAAUACCCGGGGCUAAUUACGGUACCGUAAGAAUAAGCACCGGCUAACUACGUGCCAGCCGCCGCUGUAAAAC